UGCGUAGGUGGCGGGGUAAGUCUGGUGUGAAAUCUCGGGGCUCAACCCCGAAACUGCACUGGAUACUGCCUUGCUCGAGUACUGGAGAGGAGAUUGGAAUUUACGGUGUAGCAGUGAAAUGCGUAGAUAUCGUAAGGAAGACCAGUGGCGAAGGCGAAUCUCUGGACAGUUACUGACACUGAGGCAGGACCACGGGGAGGCGAAACG
rnacentral:rRNA from 1 species